UACGUAGGGGGCAAGCGUUGUCCGGAAUCAUUGGGCGUAAAGAGCGUGUAGGCGGCCCUGUAAGUCCGCUGUGAAAGUCCAGGGCUCAACCCUGGGAUGCCGGUGGAUACUGUCGGGCUCGAGUCCGGAAGAGGAGUGUGGAAUUCCUGGUGUAGCGGUGAAAUGCGCAGAUAUCAGGAGGAACACCAAUGGCGAAGGCAGCACUCUGGGACGUGACUGACGCUGAGACGCGAAAGCGUGGGGAGCAAACAGG
rnacentral:rRNA from 1 species